rnacentral:rRNA from 1 species
CGCAAGCCUGACGGAGCAACGCCGCGUGAGGGAGGAAGGCUCUUGGGUUGUAAACCUCUUUUCUCAAGGAAGAUAAUGACGGUACUUGAGGAAUCAGCAUCGGCUAACUCCGUGCCAGCAGCCGCGGUAAUACGGAGGAUGCAAGCGUUAUCCGGAAUAAUUGGGCGUAAAGCGUUCGUAGGUGGUGAUGUAAGUCUGCUGUUAAAGCGUGUAGCUUAACUACAUAUAGGCGGUGGAAACUACAUGACUAGAGUGCGUUCGGGGCAGAGGGAAUUCCUGGUGUAGCGGUGAAAUGCGUAGAUAUCAGGAAGAACACCGGUGGCGAAGGCGCUCUGCUAGGCCGUAACUGACACUGAGGGACGAAAGCUAGGGGAGCG